UAUGAAGUGUAAAAUAUUAAUUUUAGUAUUUUAAGACUGUUUAAAUGGGGUAUUGAGCAUUUUUUUAAAAUUGUGGAACUUAAUACUCAGAGAAAAGUUUGUGGUUGUGAUAAAGUGGUGAUAAGAAUUAACCCCUAUGGUCUCUAUUUUUUAUUUAUCGUGAGAUAGUAAAUUUACGCGUUGACAUUAGGCCGUCCUCCAUAUCGAAUAAAUUUAUUAUGAACUCACUGGAUAUAGUUACUAGUUAUUGAUAGUCUAUGUUAG
rnacentral:lncRNA from 1 species